rnacentral:rRNA from 1 species
UACGGAGGAUGCGAGCGUUAUCCGGAUUUAUUGGGUUUAAAGGGUGCGCAGGCGGCACGGCAAGCCGGCGGUCAAAUCGCGGGGCUCAACCCCGCCCAGCCGUCGGAACUGCCGGGCUAGAGUGGGCGAGAAGUGCGCGGAAUGCGUGGUGUAGCGGUGAAAUGCAUAGAUAUUAGGAGGAACACCAGUUGCGAAGGCGGCUCUCUGGACUGUAACUGACACUGAGGCACGAAAGCGUGGGGAGCAAACAGG